UACAGAGGUCCCCAAGCGUUUGUUCGGAUUCAUUGGGCGUAAAGGGUGCGUAGGCGGCGCGGUAAGUCGGGUGUGAAAUCUCGGAGCUUAACUCCGAAACUGCAUUCGAUACUGCCGUGCUUGAGGACUGGAGAGGAGACUGGAAUUUACGGUGUAGCGGUGAAAUGCGUAGAUAUCGUAAGGAAGACCAGUGGCGAAGGCGGGGUCUCUGGACAGUUCCUGACGCUGAGGCACGAAGGCCAGGGGAGCAAACGGG
rnacentral:rRNA from 1 species